UACGUAGGUGGCAAGCGUUGUCCGGAUUUACUGGGCGUAAAGGGCGUGCAGGCGGUUUGUUAAGUGCAGGGUGAAAGCUCCCGGCUCAACUGGGAGAGGUCCUUGCAUACUGGCAAACUCGAGGGAGGCAGAGGAAAGUGGAAUUCCCGGUGUAGUGGUGAUAUGCGUAGAUAUCGGGAGGAACACCAGUGGCGAAGGCGGCUUCCUGGCCUGUUCUUGACGCUGAGGCGCGAAAGCUAGGGGAGCAAACGGG
rnacentral:rRNA from 1 species